AGAAGACUUAGUUGAUAUUCUUAAGCUUGAUUCCCUUUGUGUACAAGAAGUAGAUGUUGUCCGUGCUGUUCUUACGUGGGUAGAUCAUAAACUGAUUAAAUCAAAAGACAGAAUCGACGGGAAAUCAAGACGAGCCGUUCUUUUAAGAGAUGGUAUUCUAUUUACUAUGGCAAUCCCUUUACUUUCUCUUGAAGAAUUUACGUCAGUUGUCAUACCAAGUAGAAUUUUGACAGACGAAGAGCAGCUACAGAUUUUCAAAGCUAUUACAAUUCCGAAUAAUGCAUUAACAUGCGGAUUAUUUAGAGUACGUCCGCGAGAAAGUGGUAGAGUUGUGGACGUGUCAGUUAACGAUAUAGUGUAUCCAGGUAACAACCGGUCAGGUGAUAUCAAUAGUAGCAUGUUAACUGAGUAUUGUUCUGAAACUUUAUCUGUGAAAGCAAACAAAAGAAUCAAGAUAAAAUCUGUUACCAUCAAACCGCAAUUCAAACAACCAAGUCAGAAAAACUGCAAUUUUAAAGUUGAUAUUAAAACUUUUACCAUUGUGCACAAUGAAAUUCCUAAAAAAUUCAAAAUAUUUGACUUUCGUGAAGAAGCAUGGAGCGAAAUUAAAACUGAUGAAGUCACAUUGAAUGUAAAUUAUGAAGGCAGAGCUUGCAAACUUCCAGUAGACAAAGCAGUUUUAAAAAAUGAGAAAUUAGUAUUAUCAAUCGAACCAUGCCUUCCUCGUGGAUAUUCUAAUAUGUGGGGAUCAAACCAACACAUAUUCCAGAUCUUACCACAAACUCGUCCAUUGAUGAAUGGUAUGAUGUAUGAACACAAGUUAUCUCAACAAACAACUCUGUAUUUGUCACUUACAGGCGGACACUUAGUGGAAAGUUUUGAGGUAGUGGAAAUUUGCUGAAAUAUACUUUAAUCGACAAUUCUGAAUAUCAAAAAUAAAUUCUUUGGCAACUAUUUAUAUGUAUUUUGACAAUUAUACAAUUAAAAUACAUUUGAAAACAAAGUCAAAUGCUUGUAUUUAAGAGAUGUGAAGCAUGCGCAAAUGAAUCACACUGCUACUCAAGAACACAAGUUCGCCAAAGGAGUAGGUCCGGUAAGGACCGAUUUUGGCCUCAAAUUUCAGGUUCAUCUGACGAAAGAUUUUGACCACUUUUUAAACACUUAAGUGUCUAUUUUAUUUGAAUUAAUUAGUUUAUGUGAUAGAUUUUAACAGAUUGAGUCAUUAAAAACGAUCUGAUUCAAGCUCAAAUAUGAAAAAUCUACCUAAUAUGCCGGAAAAUGCACUUUUUCAGAUGGUUUUUGGUAAAAAUGAAAGUGGCCGCAUUCCGUGUUCAUCCUCAACUUAUAUAUUAUGUAUUAUCAUAAAAUACAACUUACAUUUCAAUAUUAAGGAUGAACACGAAUGCGGCCACUUUCGUUUUACACGAAAACCGUCUAAAAUUUAACUAAAAUGCUAGAAUUAUGAGGAUUUCAGUAAUUUAGCAUGACUUAAUGGUGCUAGUACCGGAUAUAAUGUGCAUUGUAUUGUCAAACAGCCCAUAUUUUAUGUAGCAGAAGCAUUCUACUGUCAAUAAAUAACUAAAGGUUUACAUUUUAACAAUUUUGUAAAACUGCUAUAUUUUGGGGCCAAAAAGGGGUCUUACUGAACCUACUCCUUUAAAUUGGUGUCCGCAAACCUUUGUUUUCCGUAUAUAAAUUUGUGGACUUCUUUAUUAUUUUCUUUGAAUAUGACCCCAGGGGUGACUAGGGAAAUGAAAUACGGUCACUUGAUCUUCUCCCGAUCGGCAGUAAAACGCCUGCUAAAGUGGGGCGUCCGUUUGGUUGUACGGGAAGUAUCAAUUUUGCAACCACGUCCGCUCAGAAUGAGGACGUUAAAUCUGAUGCCUCGUGUAAUGAAAGUGCCACGCUCUUUGCACGAUUAGAACCCUUGCAACAACUCUUUGAGGGGUCCGUAGGUGACCUGUUGCAAGGCAAAAUGUCUGUUCUUGUCCAAUAUGCCCUCAUAGUCCUCUAUAUAUUCAAAGAUUGUAAUUAUUAUUCAUUUUACAGUUGAUUUUAAAACAAAUUGUUAUUUUUUAAGUGCCUGCGCCAACGUGACCCAGGAAUUGUUUUAUUCCAAUGUCAUGCAAACUGUUUUUGCUGUCUAAAUCGCCAUAAUUUUUUCCGGCUCACGUAGGCGCACGCUAUUAAAUUUUAAGAAACAAUGACCAAAAAUCGAUAUUUUCCUUCUUUUGGCGUUUUUUUAUGCCCUUUCACCACCCUAACCUCACCCAUUUUCUGAAAUUAAUGGUUUUGAAAUUCACCCAAGCAAACUUCAAACCUAAGGGAAUAUUUUAACGUGAUAAGUAGCUUUAUAAAGCAAAAUUUAGAAAAUGAAAAAUUAGAGGGGCCAAAAACGGGCCUUAUUGUACCUUGUCCUUUUCCCGACCAUCAUCCCGGAUGGCUUCUAUUAUUACAAAAAACUACAUAUUUAAGCAACCAAUAAUCAAUCAUUCUUUGAAGAUGGUUGCCCUCUUGAUGUCUUCCAGUCCGGUUAAAAAAUAUAAAAAAGAGAAAAUUGAACUGUGUUUUUGCAUAUCAUAUACAAUACUUUAAAUGCACAAGGCUAUAAAAUUGAGAAUGAACAUGACAAAUUUGUCAGAGAAACAACAACCCGACAAAGAGUAAAAAACGUCCCAGAACUACCAAUGGGUUUUGAACAAAGCGAGAAAAUUUGGCAUUCCGAGGUGGGCUCGAUCUGGCCCCUUAAUAAUCAUGGGUACUAGUUCAGUCCAAAAAAUGGACGUCAUAUUAAAAUUCCAAGAAAAAUUCAAAACGGAAAGUACCUAAUCAAAAAAGAAAUUCAAAAGCGUGAACACAACAAACAAAUGAAUAACAAAUGUCAUAUUCCUGACUUAGUUUAUGCAUUUUCUUAUGUAGAAAGCCAAGUCAUUGUUAUUGUAUAAUGAUCAAAUACCGGUAGAGACAACGAAAAAUGGUUUGAUAUUACAGUAGUAUAUUCAACAAAGGCUCAUUUCCUGAGAGAUACGUUUACAUUAAGAAUAUGUUUAUCAAACUAAAAAUAAAUCAGUGCAAUAGACAUCCUUAAAAAAUAAUAUAAUUCUUUUGAAUGACAGAAAUGUUCAAUGCUAAAGAUUUCCAGAUAAUUUUCCAACUCUUGAAAUCAUCUGAUAUCUUUAGUGUGAUAUCCAUCUACUUGUUGAACACUUGUUGUAAUAGGCCCACGACCACAAUUAUUAAUGACCCCGCGUUUCGAUAGUUCCAUUUAAUUAUAGUGUAUUUUUUCUUUAUUUUUUUUCUUUCCCUUUCUCAUACAUUUCUUAGUUUUUCUGGGUUGGAAAUGAAAGGAGAGAGCUGAAAUAAACUUUUUGAUGUUUUAAUUUAACUGAUUUUGAUAAGGAAAGAGUGAUUCGGCCAGGUGCAAAAAGGUAAUAUUUACACUUUUCGGAACAUCUCUUGACUUGCCUAUAGGGUUAUGGAUGUGUAUUGGCCAAAUUUGUAUGAUGUAAACAUGCAAUUUUGUCGAAAAUUGCAUAUACUUUUGGACUUGUACUGUACAUUACACACACAAAAAGAAUAGGCAAAAUUUUUUUAAUGCGACAAAACGUUAUAAAAAACUGAUAGAGGAAUGAGAUGUGGUCUCGGGCCUAUCUUUUUUGUUAGACAGGAGACAGAUAAAAAAUGGAUAAUCAAAAUCAUAAGUCGAAAAUAAACCGAGAAUGUCAUGGCAAAAAAAGAUCAAUGGAUAAAUACUAGUAUGCAAAACACAACAUAGAAAACUGAAACUCGGAAACACGAACCACAUAACUUAGUAAAAAAACAAAAAUACUGAAAUCCGAGGAUAAUGAAAAAAGGAAAGUCAAUAAGUAAGUUGUAAAAUCAAAAGCUCAUGCAUGUCAAACGAACGGAUUACAACUGUCAUAUUCCCGACUUAUGUAAAAACAAAAAUGGUGAAUUAAACCUGGUUUUAUAGCUAGCUAAACCUCUCAGUUGUAUGACAGUCUUAUAAAAUUGCAUAAUACUGACAACGAUGUGUAAACAACAGAAACAAACAUAAUAGGUAAAAAUGUCCAGAAAAACAAAAACAAAAAGGCAAAUUGACAAAGCAGAUUUGAGAAAACGAAAGACAUGAAUACACAAAUAUUACGAUAUCACAAUAACUUUUUCACAUUGACGGAAUGGGCAAAUACCAUUCCACGUCCCAUAAAUAUUUCCAAACAUAGACUAAACAGUAAAGGUAAUAAUUUACAAAGACAAAUAAAAGAUUUUAAUUCUUUCCCAUAUACUGCAUUCAUUCUUUUUCUUCAUUGAUAUCUAUCCAUUAUCAUCAUUAUAAUUAUACAGUGCACAUAUCUUCGCAGAAAAGUGAGUCUCAUUUGAAGGAGUAGUUUUGAAUAUGUAGCCUUGUCCAACGUAAAGAUACCAAGAAUACUAUUUAUAACAAAUACGCGUCUGUAGUAACAUAUUUUAUCAGUUGCUUCAAAAUGAUUCGUUUAAAGGACAAGGAAGAUUGUCUAUAUCGGUGAUAGAUUUAAAUCAAUUUUGUUCAAAAUUCAUUCAACGAUCACAAAGUUCAUUAUUUUGUUUGUAAGUAGUUUCAGAAGUAAAACUGUUAAAUAGUCUUGUUUACACUUGUUAUAAUUUUUCUGAGAGCAACUAUACAUAUUUCACUAUUCCUAUUCAUUCAGGGAUCCAUAAUCAUUUUCUAAUGUUCAUCUUCGUUCAUCCAGACGUUUACCUUUGAAGAUUUUUAAGGACAGUAACGCGAUAUUAAAUAAAGAUGAAUCCCUACAUUGAAGCGAAGAGGCUUACCCUUCUGGAGAAACUGAUACCACACCAGAUUUUGUAAUUGGUUUAAUGUUGCGCAGAUUUUGUUAUAAAAAAAAACACCCAUGCAACCACGUAUCCAAUAUUGCAAGAAAGGACCCGACACUUCUAAUUUCGUGUUUCGGCAGUUAAGCUUGGGAUGGUCAUUUUAAGAUGCAUUAUUUGAAUAUAAUCAAAUAUGAAAAUUAUUCAUGUUUAUAUUGAUAUAUCUAUAUUUUAAUUCUUCUUCAAUAUAUCUAGUUAUUAUGACAGAUCUGCCAUCAUCAGGGGUCCAACUGUCAAUUUUAUGUUAAAGUCUUUAACUUUGAUCUACUAAGCAUAUCUCCAAUACUUUUAUGUUUGCUAUACGCAACUAUUGGUGCUGUAUUGAAUAUUUGUACACAGUCUUCGUCGAACUGUAAUAAAUGCCAGUGUUUCAUUAUACGUUUCUUUAUUUUACGUAUAUAUGGAUUAUAUUUAGUUAUUAAAACUAACGGAAUACUUUGCUUCUCUUUAGAUUUGUUUUGUUGUAAUAAAUCAGUACGGUCAAUUAAGCAUCAGUAAUACUAUCAUCUAUUUCAAGGUUAUCAUAACCCCUAUCUAAUAAUUUCACUUGAAAUUAGUUAGAUUGUUUAUUAAUUUGUUAUGGUCACUUGUAUUUCUAAUUUGCCGUAUUGUUUCACCUUUAAUAAAUCCUCUGAAUACAUGCUGUGAGUGACAGCUAUUUCUGUGCAGAAACAGAUAAGAAUUUGUUUCUUUAAAAUGUAUUUCGAGGUCAAGGAUGCCAUAUGUUGUAAAUCGUUGACCUUUAAUUACAUCAACAUCCAAGAACGACAUUUUAUCGUUUUUGAUUUCAUAGGUGAACUUUAAUAAGGGGUUAUAAUCAUUUGCUAGACGAAAAAAAUCUAAAUUUCAUCUGAUGUUCAUAUAUUAUGAAUCCAUCGUCUCUAUAUCUUCCAUGAUAGAAUAUUUUGUCUUUAUAUUGAAAUGCAGAAAUAAUUUGAUUCAUUAUUUCAAACAUAAGUAUGUCACAGAUUUCCUGUGAAGGAACUGCACCAAUUGCCGUACCUACUACUUGUUUGUAAAUUUUCCCAUCAAAUUCAAAUACAUUGUUUUCUAAAAUGAUUCUCAACAAAUGUAUUAACACAUUGACUGGCGGAGCAUUGACUUUGAAGUUUGAUUUGUCAAAACUGUCAUAGGCUCGUUCAACCGCACUCAAUAACGCUUCUUGAGGUAGAUUAGUAAACAUCUGUGUUAAGCUGGGGUCACACAUUCACGAUUUUUACUGCCGUCCUUGACAGGACCAUUCCCGAUUAAAAUUUGUCAAAAGUCUGAUCAAGAUCCUGUAAAUCGUGGAUGGAAAUUCGAUUUGUAUCUUUCGCCAGGUAAAAUUCGACCGAGUCUGUCAGACUGCGUCCGAUCUACCGAUUGUAAUCCGACAGAGAUCAGAUAGUGACAAGACAGUGAACCGACGCUGACGGAAGUUAUCCGUUCGAAAACUGUCGGCAUAAUCGGGAUGAUCAGGUACUGUCGGAACGUAAUCCUAUCACGGUCCGCUUUAUCGUAUUGCAAACGGCUUUGUCUGUCUCAGUCGUAUUGUAUUCUGUAUUGUCGGACUUCUCCAGAUCAUUCCGUUCCACAGGACACCGUCCCGAAUACACAGAACAUUGUUAGGAAUUCGAUCCGAUACAGCAGAAUCUGUCACGACAUAGGCACGAUUGUAUCCGACUAGACAAAAUCGGCUGAGUUCCCCGAAUGUUACGGACGCACCUAACUGUCGGGGUGCUUUGCCGAACUAUUCGGACCUUCCCGACCAGUAGGAAUCUGUUUAAAACGACUUCAGACAAUAAUAGGACAUUCCAGAUAAUUGAGGAUACUAAUCCGAACUUUUCGUGUCAUCGCUGUCUGAUCUCAAACGGUAAUCGGCAAUGUGUGAACCCCGAUUACAUAUGAAACCAAAAGGCUGUUUGCCAUGUUUUAAUUUCUCAAUGAUAUUAAUGAACGAUGUAGUAUCUUUUAUAUAUGUAGACUGAUUUUGAACUAUUGGUAUAAGAAAAUAGUCAACGUAAUGACCUAUAAGUUCAGUUACAGAACCACACUGUGAUAUAAUUGGUCUGCCAGGUGGAAUUAUAUUUAAUUCAUUUAAUCAAUCAUGUUGUAUUUGUUUAAACGUCUCUGUUUCAAGACGGUGAAUUUUUGGGAGAAUAUAAAUUCUCCCUAAUCGUGCAUCUCUUAAUUUUUGACCAUUUGUUAAAAAUUUAAAUGAUAUUUUGUCGAUUAUGACUUUGAUAUACUCAAUGACCUGGAUUUUCAGUUCUGCCAUGUUAAAUGAAUCUAAUUGGCAGUAAUGUUGAGUAUUUUAGUUGUCUUGUGACUUCUGUUAUGUAGUCUAGCCUGUCUAAAAUAACACAAUUUGAAUUUUUAUCUGCCUUUUUUAUUACUAUUGUUUCAUCAUUUUUUCAAAUUGCGUAGCGCUAUUCUUUCGCCCUUAGUAAGAUUGUUUUUACAUUUCUUUCUAUUGGUAGAAAAGACAAUUCAAGCUUGGUUAAAUCUAUAUAAUUUUCCAACGUAUGGCACGUAGAGGCACGUUGAUAUCCUGUAUUGUUACGAAAUGGAUGAAGGACAGUUUUUUCUUGACUGAACAUAUACCUACAUCGUAAUUUUCUAGCAAAUUCAUUGUAGUUUUUUAGUAUAGACUUUUUUGCAUUUUUGCUUGAUGGCGUUGGUAUAAAUUUCAAGCCUUUCGCCAACAGGAUAUAUUCCUGAUUUGAUAAUCUGCGUGUUGAUAGAUUAAUUACAUGCUUUUUCGCAUGUGCAGUUCUUUGCUGAAUAUUGUAUUUAUUCCGUUCUUUUUUAUUGUAGAAUCGGAAUUUUUGCUUUUUAGCAUUUCUAUUAAAACGACGUGCCAUUUUUGAGUUCACAUUGGGUGAUUCUCUUUAGCUACGUGCCUUUGUUGAGCUCACAUUGGGUGGCUGAUGCGUUGUUGCAUUGGUGUUUUUUUAUAACAAAAAGUAUCCCCAUAAGAGAAAUCAAAUUUUAACUAUUCUACAUAUUACAAAGGAGGAAACAAAUAGGCUAGGAAUACCUGAUGAGGAUAAGCCUAGGUCUACAUGACCAUAACCGAAACACCUUUUUUUAGUAUACACACAAUAAUUAUACUACAAACAUGCAAUUGUGGAUUUCUAGAAAAAUAUGGAAAUAAAUGUUGAAAAAUGUAUUCCAUAAACGGAAAUAUAUUUUUAUCAUACACUAAGUUUAUCAGCUCUUAAUUAUUCUAAAUGUAUGCACAUAUAAAAUUGAAUUAAAAAUGAAGGAUUUUGAUAAAAUAUACUGGAUUGGUCCUGGACCCGAUUGAUUUUAAAAAGAUUUUGUAAUUGGUUUAAUGUUGCGCAGAUUUUAGUUUUCUAUGUUGUGUUGUGUUGUGUGCUUGUACCGUUGUUUGUCUUUUCGUCGUUUCCAGUUUUAUAUCUAAGCAUUGUGAGAUUGUUUUCGACUAAUGAGUUUGAAUGUCAUUUUGGUAUCUUUCGCAUCUCUUAUAAUAAUACUUCUUAUAAGGUGGGCUCGUUUUAAUGCAAUGAAACCAAAUAUCUCAUUACUAACGAGGACCUUUUAUUUAUGAGUCGUAAUUCCAUCGUGUGACAUAUUAUAUCGUUUUCACUUAAAUUCAGCAUCGGUAUCUGCAGUUUGUUUUCAGAUGCAAAUCGUAGCUGAAUUUAUCAUUAUGUCACAGAUAUAAUAGUAUCCAAGCGGAUAGAAACGAAUAUUAUCGAUUGUGUUGUAUUUUUCGUCUGUGCACCUUAUUCUACAAAAUCUUUACCUGUCUUAGUUCCGUUCAAUUAUGUUGUUAUAUGGAACACAUUACCAUUAUUGAAUCAUAAAAAAUUAGAGAACAAAUAUAUAUCACUAUAAGAAAUGCUUUUUAUUUUAUCGUUUGCGACCACAUCUCCUUUUAAUGCAAAAUAUUGCAUUGUGUCUGAGAACAGUAUACCUAACGGGAAAUGAAUCUGAUACGCUUUUCAGUAUACAAUUGAAAAAAUCUCGGACUCCCCGAGACUUCCCGAGAUUUAUGGAUUUUGGUAGCGUAUGACUGUUUAUUUAUUGAACUGCUCAAUAAAUAAACCACAUAACUCUUUAAUCGUAAAUAAAUACAAGUUUUUAUCAUUUAGAAAAUAUAUAUUUUGUCAUGUAAAAUUAUAAAAUAUAAAACAAGGGAUAUGGGUAUUCAUCCUUGACAAAAAAAGAGUACUUUCACAGCAAAGAAAAACACAAAAAAGCAAAGGAAAAUUACCUUACCUAAGUAUCUGUAUUAUAUCAGGUAAUAUCUGUAAAAUAUGCUGUAGUCUUUUUGUUUUGUCUGAUUCCUUUUUUCCGGUUAAAAGAUUUAAUUAUUUUUAUAUAUAUGUUAUAAUAAAGUUUUAUAGGCGUCUCUUAUAUUUAUGAAUUUGACUGUCCCUCUGGUAUCUUUCGUCCCUCUUUUAUACCCAUUUCACAAUAAUUGUAUUUCAUUAUAAUUAAUCAAUUAAUUAUAGUCGUUCUAAAAUUAAUCAUAUAUUUUUUUUGUUCUGCUAUGUAGAUAUGAGAGGUUCAAAGGUUCAAAGGUUUUAAGUACUCGAUUAUCUUUAAAUAUCAUAACUGUCAAGGAAGUGUCAUCUUUUUGGACUUUCAUACCGUUAUCUAGAUAACAAUAAUGUUUUAUAAAUAUUAAAGUUGAGAGAAUAUAUGUUUGACUCAUUCCAUAAGAAUACUUGUGCGACUUUUGAGGUGAGUAUUAAUUUAAUCAUUGUCAUUUUCAUAUCACACAUCAACAGUUAUACUGUAUAAUUGUUUUUAAUAAAACUUCAAUAUUGAUUCGCUGAAAAAUUUACACAUCACGUGGGCUUCACAGACAUCAUUACAACAACAAUUUCAAUUUUCGAACUUUCAUUUGUAGAAUGUUUGUUGAAAAAAAAGCCAACAAAAGUGUGGGUAGAGCUUAUUGAGUUUAGAGUCAGAAAAAAUAUUAAAACUACUGUGGGUUUACGCUCACAUCUCUUUGAAUAUGUUUUUAAUAUGAGUUAUAUGAUAACGUUUAUGACUUUAAUGUUUGAUCCAGCACAGACACCUAUGACGACGAAAUCGAUUUUAUGAGUAAAAACUUCUUUAAAUUACUUUACAUUGAAUAUAUUUUAAAGUCAUAAUUACUGUAAAAAUCUUUUUUUUAUUUUUUCGACAACUUUUUUCACAGUUUUAAUUUGCAAUUCGCCACAGUUGACUCAACUCUGUAUGUCCUAUAUAACAUCAUUGCCUUAUCAAACAUGUAACUGUUGAUUUAUAACGUUUGAUCAAACAAUGGUGUAGAAUUUCAUUGAUCAUUUUUUUUUAUUAUUUGCACUAUACGGUACAGUUACAAGGGAGGUAAUGACGUUGCUAAAGUUAAAUAUUAUUUUCGAGACGUCAACUGUGAAAUAUUCGGAAAAGAUGCAUUUAUCGACAUUUUUUAUUUAAACGGAUUUAACUUGAAAAGGAGUUCAUAUAUAUAGCACUUUUUUAAAAUGGCUUUAGGCCUUAUUACGGUAGAAGAUGAUUUGUCCACAAUUCUUGAAAAAAAGUCAACAUUGAUUUUUUACGAAUUUAAUCAAAUAUUCCACAAAAAAUGCCGUUUUUUAUACUCAAAUCCUUAAACAUUAAAUAUUUCCAACGAACUGUUGUACAUUUCUAUUUACAAAACAUUUUUAUAAUGUUUCUACAAAUAUCCGCUGCUUGUGUUUAUCUGCUUAAAAAAAGUUGUGUCAAUCCAAUAGAAAGAAAUGUCCAAAAACAAACAAAUUUUGAAGAAAUGUCUCAAAUCGCGAUCCAUUUUACCUCUUGAAGAAUAAUAUGAAUGAAUAUUUUUAUUACAUAUUGGUAAUGCUAAUGUGAAAAUACCUUGUAUGCAAAAUGCUGUAAACAAAAUCAUCAUUGGAUCGAAAUGUAUCGUAUGCCCUUAAUGAAAAUCAAUACUUAUGGUGAAUUCUUCAUGUUUGCAUAACAACUGUUGUUCGAGAAUUAAUAUAAUGUCGGAUAUUCUAAAAUGAUUAGAUAAUAUAUGCACUAAGGACUUAGGUUUUUUCUUUAUUUUCAAAUUAUACUAGUUAUAUGAUCAAUACUGACUAGAUUAGUUGUAUACCGGGUUCUUGUUUUGAGAUAUAGAUAUGUAUGAGUAAUAUAUGCGCGUGAAAUACUUUGGCAAUUCAAAAGGUGGGGUUCCAGCAUUAUCAUAUAAAGAUAUUGUUUAUGUGUCAAAUCAUCGCAAUGUGCUGACAGCAACAAAGUCGGUCAGUCAGUAUGACUAUUAUUCCUGUAUACGUCAUGAGAAAAUCAACAGAUAAUGAGUUAUGUAGUCUGAGAUUUUGAGUGUUACAUUUACUAUAUUUCUCAAAUGCAAUGAAUUUUAUCUUCAAUGUCAUCCUUUCAGUAUGUAUUGUUUAUUUUUCAAUAGUUACUUCAAACUUCGAUAGAUACAUUUGAGUAACAAAGUCUUACUAUGAUAAAACAAAUGUCUAAUGAACCCUAGUAGUGACUGGGGAGAAGAACUAUGGUCACUGUGUUCUUCUUCCGACCGGCUGUAAAAAGCUUGCCAAUAUAGGGCGCCUGUUUGGCUGUGCAGAAUGAACAAUUACGCAGCCAGAUACCGGUCGGAAUGGAAUGAUACAUUCGAUACCGAGUAAAAAAAGUGAAAUGCUCUUUGUAAGUUAAGAACCUUGUAACAUCACUUUGUAUGGUUCGUUAGUAGUAGGAUGUUGCGAGGCGAAAUGUUUUCUUUAUCCAGUGGCAGUAUUAACAUUCUCUAUUAGCUGUUUAAAGUCCAAUCUGCAUCCCAUACCUGUAAUAUUCAUUUAUUUCAUCUAGUCCUGGACAUGCUUGACAUGUCUGCUACUUAUCAAUCAUUUAAUUGUGUCUAACAUGGAUAAUUUUAUCAUUAUGUAUAUAACUUUCUUUUUCAUUGUCAAUUUUUAUAAGUAAAGUAGUAUCAACCUUUUAUCUGUUCUUUAAUGUGUGUUCAAAACAAUCAGUUGGCUGUCAAUUUCUUGCUUCAGAUAGUUGGGCUUUUUUAAUUAUCAAGUAAAAGGCACUAGGGAGGCUACUGUCUGUCUGUCUCCUAUCAGCGCGUUUUAAAGAUUGCAAUCAAUUUGUCUAUAACAUGGACAUAGUUGAUCAUCAUAUACAAAAUAAUCACAGUAUUAGCUUGUUACACUUUAAUUUAGAAUUGACGCAAAAUACUUACGAAAUUUUUCAUAUUAUACAUUUUACCCUUCUGAAAUAAAGGUACAGAUUUCGGAAAAUUCCGGACUGCAAAAUUCUAUUCAAAUGUACGAUAAAUCUUAAUUGUACUCUAGCAUAAACACGUCCUCAAAUCCAAUAAGGUUCUAAUCAAUUUGUGACUUUUCCUCCGUUUCAAACUUCUUAUUGCCUUUCAAAUUUCAUUUUCUGUCUUUUUGUUAUCAAGUUCUUCAAGACGCAUUCAACUAUAUCUUCAUUAAAUGAACUGUCAUCAAAUACAAUUAUUGUGUAUGAUUAGCACAAUUACAAUGGCAUAUCUUAAUUGCUUUGGUACAUUUAGAACCAUGCUUUCUCUUAACAUUUCUUGGAAAUGAAGUUUGAUUUUUUAAGUCUCAUUGGGGCCACCGUCUUUCCUUCAGUGCGUAUGUAUUCACAUUUCAAACGACAUUUUUAUGCUUUACUUUCCGUUAGUAUCUCUAUGAUUAAGUUUUUAUCAUUAAGUUUGAAUGUUGUCCUGUUCAAUACGUGCAAACAGUAGUUUUUUUUUGCAGCGGCGAGAUAGAUGUUUACACAAACUUGUAGUUAAACAAGAUAUAAAAUGCGUUGUCCUUUUUUUAAUGUAAUUUAAUCUACUGUUAAUUCGACUAAGACUCACAUUUACACUGUCCAUAUUUAAACGUAAAAAUGCUCUUCAUUGUUCUUUUAAUUGGUCAUUCAAUUUAAAUUUAUCCUGCUGCAAACAUUUUUGUUUUCGUCUUUCGAAAGUCGUGUUGAUAUUUAUAACUUUUUGCCUAUUUUCGUUAAUGUCAUAAUGUUUUUACUCAUUCGUAUGUGCAUAUGGAGUUCGCUAAUGAAUUAGUGGAGCUCCCUAGUACAAACCUACAGAAUAACUAUGUAUAAAUUAUGUAGCGUUUAAUCAGUAUACUCAAUGUGUAGUAUGCUAUCAAAUGGAUACCAAAAUCAUUUUUUUUUGUAGAUCUUGAGCGUUUAUUAUAAUCAUGUACUUGCCUCUUCCCUAAAGAGAAAUAAAUUUGAUAAGGAUUACAGACUAUAUUUAUAGUUGAACUCAAUUAACAAUAUGUCUGGGUUCAUACAAUGAACAAGUUCAAAUAAAGUAGUUUAAAAAGUAAAAUAACAAAAAAACCGAACUUCAAACAGUAUUCAAAAUAGAAAGUCUCUUAUCAACUGCUCAAACACAGCAGGCGAAUUGAAAACAACUGUCAUAUUCCUCACUUGGAACAGGUAUUUUCUGAUGUUGAAAAUUAAUGAGUAAGCGUAGCUUAUAGCUACCUAAACCUCUCACUUGCAUGACAGUCGCAUAAAGUUCAUUUAACUAUUGACAACAAUGUGUGACAAAACAAAUAGACAUACUAGAUAAAAAUCUUUGUUCAAGAAUAUUUUGAUUGAAUUUUCGGGUUACCACCUAAACAGUGUAGGAAUAAUGGGAUAAAAAAGGACCAAAAACAAGGUUUUUCUGAUUUCAAGACAAUAUUUUGAGUAGAAGUCUAUUCAUUUCUAAAGACUUAAAAAAAAGAUUCUUACCAAAAUUAAAGGUCGGGAUAUGUUUUGAGUAAAAUACGGGAAAAAUGAGAAAAACAGUAUUUCAUUGUUUUGCAUCGAGCAUUAUCCUUUUCACAUGAAAAAAAAAGAAAGAGUAUCAGUCAAAUUUUAUAAAACUUUUUUUUUAACUUCGUUGUUCAUGCGACGAUUGCAUAUAAAACAAAAACAAUCGCUAACACAGACUGAACCCAAGUGUCAACGCCGACAGCGACCGAAUUUGAGAGCGUUAUGUCUUGCCUGUGCGAUAUAAAUGGCGCAGGCUUUACAAAAACGUGCCAAAGUUAUAUACAAAAUAGCCCAUUUACAGUUCCUUGACCUUGUUGACUUUCUUCAAAAAAAGUUAAAUUAUAUUUUAUCGUAAACAGUUGGCUAGAGCCAUUAACAACCUUAUGUUCAGCUUUGCCUAAGAGAAUUGCUAACUUUUUAAGUAUUACUAAAAUUACAUGAUUAUUACAUACCAUGCUAAUUCCAAACUAUUUAUGAAUAGUAGAAAUAUACUGAACACUACAUUUCAUGAUUCUCUUUUUCUACAUGGUCUACACUGAUUGUUUAGGUUGUUAAUAUAUAAUCAUCUUUAUUAAGUUAGAAAUGUCCUAAUUGUAUAUACAAUAUAAAGAUACGUGUAUGUGGUAAAUUGAUUGUGAGAUAUUAUUUUCAACCAAUAGCCAAUUUACAUGGGUGUAUUUAACUGAGGCUUGUUGCAGUGUUAACUCUUUCAUAGAAAUUCUUUAUAUUGAAAUGUUAGUAAACAAUAGGAUAUUAUAAAAUGCUUUAUUCCCAUUCACAAUCAAGAAAAAUUAAAAUCCUACAAUUUAAUUGGUCGAGAGCAUUUUCCUUUGUUCUUAGUGAUGAAUAACACUGUUGUGUAAUCAGCUGCUAACUCUGUUUAUGUGAACAAAUGGUAAUGAUAUACCUUGACGGGAUAUAGUGGUAUUCAUAGUAUAUCUAUUAUAAACAAUAUUACUAUGUCAUGUUAAUCUCUUUACGAAACAUCCUAUAAUCACAACACUGGAUAUUCUAUGCAAAGAUAAUAAAAGUUAAAAAAAAAAAAACAAUAAAAAGAUCAAGUAAGAUUUGAUCAGCUACUCGCUGAUAGUGCCAAAGCAAAAUUAAAAACAAAAGCAAACACAUUCAGAAAGUAAGAUGUUACAAAUUGUGUGUAGAAAAUUGGAUGCAUAAAUCCCAGAUUAUUCCGCUCAUUUUAGUACACAUGCGGCCCCUUGUCAUCGCCUACCGUCCGUCCGUCAUCUGUUACCUUUUUUAACAUUCUUUACUCUGAAACUGCUUAACGGAUUUAAACCAACAUUGUCAGCUUCAUCUUGCGGAUGUUGACUACAUUUAAUAUUCAACAUUCCAAACUUAAAGACAAAUAGAAAGAGUUGGUAUUACUUUGCUUCAUAAAACAGAAUGGCCAAAGUAGAUACAAGUAUCUUGUCUUGGGAGGGAUUAAAUCAUACUUUUAAGAUCAUUCUGAUUCAAACAAAAAUUCUCUGAACCGAUAUUAUCAAGAUGCUUGAUUCUGAUUGACAACAAUUUGUAACGUUCGAGGACGUGUCUUCAACAGACUGUCGGCAUCCAUGGGAACACACUGUGCCCUCUAUGGCGACUUUUCUUUAUUAUUAUGAGCUGACUUCAUGCAGGAACUUCGAGGAGAAAGAUAAGAGUUAGAAUAUCCUUUAACUCUAUUUCCGCUAUAUAGAUGACUUCUUUCACUAAAACAUUAAAUUUGGUGACUAUGUGGAACGCAUUAUCCAUCGAAUUGGAGAUAAAGGAUACUACAGUUAAGUCGGCUUCAAUUUGACUUACAUCUAGAAAUUGAAAUACGGUCGGUUGAAAACAAACUUUCCGACAAAGAGAUGAUUUCAGCUUUUACCCAAUUGUGAAUUUCCAUUUCUAAGUCAGCCAACAUGUCCAGCAGCACCUGCAUACGGGGUAAUAUAUCUCCAAUUGAUACGAUAUUCCCGUGCUUCAUUUCCUAUCAUGAUUUUCUUGAUAGAGCGGUUACUGCUCAAUGGAAUAGCUAUUAAUACCAAAGAGUUCAAAAUGGUGAAGUUGAAAUCAUCCUUCGUAAAUUUUUACGGACGCCAUCACGAGUUGGUUGCACCGUUAUGGAAUAACCGUUUCACCAAAUGAUAUCGGAUAUGUUCCUUACGUCGUAACUACAAUCCUUCACCCUUUCAUGAAUUGACAUACCGAAUUACGACUAUUCGCGAUUUGUAAUCACAUAAGGCAACACGACGGGGCCACAUUGUGGAGCAGGAUCUGCUUACCCUUUCCGGAAGCAACUGAUCACCCCAUAGUUUUUGGUUUGGGUUCGGUGUUGUUUAUUCUUUAAGUUUUUCUAUGUUGUGCCGUUGUGCUAUGUGUUUUUUCCAUUUUUAGCCAUGGCGUUGUCCAGUUUGUUUUAGAUUUAUCAGUUUCACUGUCCCUUUGGUAUUUUCGUCCCUAUUUUAAUAUAAAUUUUAGUCCAGAUGGACCAACAAACAGGGCUGCCGAAUCUAAAAAUGGAAAUAGUAGUCAAAUGACUAAUGCAUGUACCUCGAAAACUAUAGUUACUGACAGGGUAAAAAUGAUCGGCCAGACCAUUUACCCUAAAAAUGUUUUUGAAAGUUUUUCACCUUUUUUGCAGUAAUUGCGCCUGCAAUGUAGACCUUUAACGUUUUUGGCAUUUUCUUGCCAUUGUUUCGAACACUUUACUAGUUAGGUUAUGUAAGUAAGAAUACUAAAUUGUUCAUUGAUCGAUUAUAGUCGUAAGUGUUUUUGUGAAACCUAUCCAUAGACAAGUCGAGGACACCAAAUAUUUGUUUACCAAUUUGGCGGUGUUUCCAUUAAGGCAAUCUAUGCAGCCGAUUAAAAUAUUUGUAUAGUAAAGAGGGAACCAAUUGAUUACAUCUAUAUCUUUUUAUGUCUAACAGCUUCAACUUAAUGUAGCUGACCUUAGAAGGUAUAUAAUUCAUACGUUUUGUGAAGAGCUUUAUAGAGAGAAAAAGAGAAAAGGUUGAGUUUGACACUCUUUAGGAGUGGGUAAAAUUUCAGUGAGAGUCAUUGAUCAGCAUAAGAGUUAGUAAAGCUUAAAGCGGUCAAUGACACAAAGCUCCUUCCAUUUUUAAAGACCUCUCAAAGGUCAUAGAGGAGUUGUCUUGCCUCAUUGAAAAUAUAGUUGUCGUUCUAGCUGACAAAGCUCAAACAUAUUGUUUUUGUUCUUGCAGAAUACAUUGACUGCUGAUUAAGAAUCGGGAUAAAUAACACACUUGGAAAUCUACAUAUACACUAAGUUACACUUACGAAGCAUUAAGAUCAUGGAAAAACCAAAAAAUCGGUUCUAAUCUCCUUUGGUGUUAACAAGGAUGAUAGACCAGGAUCUUCCUCUUAAUAUUGGAUUCCUAAGCUUCACAAGAUCCUUAUACAGGAAAGGUAUAUUGCAGGUUCUUUCAAGUGUUCAUACCCCUUUUCUAAAAGUUCUACUGCCAUACUCUCAUAGGCAAUUAAAAAAAGGACUUCAUAGAAUAUUCGAAUACGGCAUAUUUCAAGAAGCUGGUGUUAUCAGAAUGUGGAUACUGAAAUUAAAAGAGUUUAUUGGUGAAUUUACGAAUUCAAUCAUUAAAUUUGUACAACAUUAAAACGUUUGAUUUUUUCAACUCUUUUUAAACCGCUAUUCCACAUACUAAACUUAAAGCUGACUGCAAAGACUCGUCAUUAUGUUUCUUUUAACAAAAGAGCACUAGUUUUAAAUUUAUCAUAGUUUUAGCAGAAAUUCAGAUUAUUUUGUGAAAAAUCAUACAAAUCAUGGAAAAAUACACCGGAAGGGGAUAUCUUGCAUGCUGGACUUUUUAAUUGACAACAUAUUUGUUGAAUUUGGAGGUUUGGUCUUCAACAGACAAUUGGAUCGCAUGGGUACCAAUUGGCUUCUCUACUUGCAGAUUUGUUUUUGUAUGUCAUAUGAAAGCAGAAUUUAUCCAAGGGCUUGUACAGAAGGAGAAAAGAAAUUAGCCAUCUUCUUAAUUUCACACUUUGGUAUAUUGAUAGAUGUACUGUUUUUAAUAAUAAUAGAUUCAGUGCAUCACUCACACAUUUCAUAUAUCCAAGUGAACUUGAAAUUAAAGAAUAAAUCUGCUUCAUAUUUAAUUCUUUUUCUCGAAAUGACUACUGAUUGUAGUUGAAUACCAAAAUUUAUGACAACGCGUUGAUUUUAAUUUUCCUAGAGUCACUUUCCAUUUCUGUGUAGCAACAUCCCACGGCACCAGCAUAUAGAGUAUAUGUGUCUCAAUUGAUACUUUAACUCUAGACUCAAAGUACGUUGAUUUUGUUGAACCAGGAAUCUGCUUUCUCAAAAGUUGCUAAGGACAGGGCUAUGAAUCAAUCAAUUAAGGUAUAAAGUGCGACAUCAUGAGGCUGAUUGGCCAUUUAUGACAAAGUGUGUCAGAAUCAUAUCUGAUAUUCUUCCUCAGUCAUAAUAACUUCCACUCAUUACCGAACUGAACAAAGAAAUAACACGACGGGUGCCGUAUACGGUGCAGGAAAUGCUUACCCUUCCGGAGCACCUGAUUUUACCCGGUUUUUAGUGGAGUUCGUGUUGUUUCUUAUUUCAUAUUUAUAACUGUUGAUGUAAAUGUCCUUUGGGUUUUUGAGUCUUUGUUUACUCCUUGGUUUUGAUUGUUAUUGUCUUUAGAAAUGUGAUUUUCUUGAAUCAAUUUGUAGCUGGUAAAAUUUAAACAGAUUAUCAAGUUCUCGAACCUUCACUGUCUCCCUAGAGCUUAUAAUCAUGAAGACUGUUGAUUUCAUUUAUUACGUUUAAAAUUCAACUUAUUUACCAUUUACUUUUUCCUGUCUGUCCAUCGUCCUCGUCACCUUUGUUGAACUUGUUCGGUACAUUAACAUUUAAUACCGAUCAUUAGUUGACUACUGCCUUUUAUCAAUGGAACUUAUAUUUUCUUACUCUUUACAUUAGCUUUUCAAAAAUAAGAUACCCUCAAUUGAUGAACUUAAAUACCCUGAUAACUUAUUUUCCAAAGAAGUCAAAAGACAAUAAAAGACAAGCAAGAAGCAUAGAAAACUAUCUACAAGACCAGUAGUGAGACUUGUCAAAGUUAUUGUUAGUUUGUUCUAACAAGAAGCAAACGACAAUUCGUAAAUGUAUGAUCAAAGAAUAAGCGUACAUCGUAUAAAACAAAAUGAAUGUAAUCGUUCAAGCAAGACACUUACAUCAAACUGUCCUUUUUUUUACGUCGUCCCGCAGUCUUCAUAUUUUUUGGAAACAUGCACUCCUUAUUGAUACCAACAUGUACUGUGACAUGAACUUUAAUAUUAUAACAUGACACUCUUAAACGUGUCGUGUGUUAUGAGUCAAUGAGACAGUCACCAAAUAGAAUCUUGUAGUCUUGCAAUCUAAUUGAGUGUAAUUUUCUCUUUAGAAAGUGUUCACGAACAUCAUAACGAAAAAAGAAGUAUGGAUACUAUCACUGGUUUACUUGCCCAAAUAUGUCUGACAGAGGAAAAGACUACAAUUUACAAAGUUAAACACGCAGUACCAAAAUUUCUUUACAUGAACCACACAAAAACACUGGUUGACCAAACGAUAAUGAAUAAAAAGCAGCCCUUGGUUCAUAUGACGUCUUUUUCUUCUUGCUGGCAUAUUCGGUUUUUAUAUAUGUUGAUAAAGAAGAUCAAUAUGAGACAUCGUUGACCCAGUAAUAGCUGCUAUCUAAAACCUUUUCUAGCUAAGAAAUAUUUGACCAAGGUUUCCUCAACGAACAUUUUGAAACGCAGACACUUGAUUAGUUAAUGAUUAUUGAUUGAAAUGCCCGGUAAAAAUAUGAUAGUAAAAUAACAAAAAAUAAGCUUUCAUAGAAAUAAGAAGAUGUGGUAUGAGUGCCAAUGAGACAACAAGUUAACAAAUUAUAGGUAAAAGGACGGCUUUUAAGACGUAGCUUGGCUCAAACCGAACACCAGCUAUAAAAAGCAACAAAACGACUAUAAUAAAACAGAUGAAACAGGAAAACAAACGGUGUAAUCAAUAUAAAAACGAGAGACCAGAACCCACAUCAACACACGACAACCACUGAACAACAGGUUCCUGACUUAGAAUAGAUGUAAACAAAUGCAGGUUUAAACGUUUUAACAGGCGCCACACUCUCGCCCUUAUUAAACAGAAAUGUAACGUUACAACAUAAAAAGAACAUUCUCUUCUUAAUAAAUUUGACCACUUAUGGAUUCCGCAUAAAGUAUCGUAAAACUGACUAUUUUCUUACAUAUUUCAGAUAUCUAUAUACCGAUCAUCUUCAUCUUAGGGAAGAUUCUGUUAUCCACUUAUUGUAUGCCGCUCAGAAGUAUCAGAUCGUAGAAUUAAUUUCAAAAUGUGAGAAUUAUCUACACGAUAAUCUAGCUGUUCAUAAUGCAUGUACAAUUUUCAGUAAUGCAAAAUGUUUCACAAUGGAUAAUCUUAAAAUUAAUGCACUAACAUUCAUAGCAGAUAAUGCGAUCGAAGUGUUGAAAAAUGACGAUUUUGUCAUGCUCCCGUCAGAAGACUUAGUCGAUAUUCUUAGGCUUGAUACUCUUUGUGUACAGGAAGUAGAUGUAGUCCGUGCAGUUCUCAAAUGGUCGGAUCAUAUUCUGACCGAGUCCAAUAACAAAAUCGACGGGAAAUCAAGAAGAACCGUUCUUCUUAAAGAUGGAAUUCUAUUUACUUUAGCAAUCCCUUUACUUUCCAUUGACGAUUACACGUCAGUCGUAAUACCAACUAGUAUUUUAACAGCCGAAGAGCAGCUACAAAUGUGUACAGCUACAUCAAAUGCGAGUGGAAAAUUUAGAGUACGUCCCAGAAAAGGAGGUAGGAUUGUAGAGGUGUUAGUUAACGAUAUAAGGAAUCCAAAUUCUUCGAAGAAUAUCGGCAUGAUGUGUCCGUCGUACACUUAUUUAAAACCUGAAACUUUAUCAGUAAAAACUAACAACAGAAUCAAAAUCAAAUCAAUUACCCUUAAACCACAAUUCAAACAACCAGACCAGAAUAAUUGCAAUUUCAAAGUUGGUAUUAAAACUGUUGACACACUACCUCAAACACCCUGGGCCGUACAAUUCUUCGAUGAUCAAGGAAUGCUAUAUAAGGAAAUCGAGGAAGACGCAUUGAAUGUAAAAUUUGAUGGCAGAGCUUGCAAACUUCCAAUUGACAGAGUUAUUCAACAAAAUGAGAUGUUAGUAUUGACAAUCGAACCCUAUCUUCCAAAUCAAAAUAUUGAUAUAUGUACAUCAAACCAACACAUGAUCAAUGAAGUACCAUUUACAUUCAGAGUAAUAAAUGGUAUGAUGUAUCAACACGAGAUAUCUAAAAAAACAACUGUAUACUUGUCACUUAGAGGUGUACAUUUUGUGGAAAGUUUUGAAGUGAUGCAAUUAUGCUGAAACAUUAUACUAUUUACUCGACAACUCUAAAUAUCGAAAACUUUCUUUUGCAACUCUUUACCGGAAUUUACUAAAACUUUUACACAAUUCAAAAGCAGUUUUAACUCACAAUCAAAUACUAGUUUGUUACAGAUGUGAGGCAUGCGCAAAUGAAUCAUUCUCGAACAUAGAAACACAAGUAAGCACAAUAUGAGUUUUGCCUAUUAUUGACGGCGUACGGUGACCUAGGUACAGUUGAUAACUUCUUCUUUUUGGGGGUUUCUGAUUGAUAUAUGUCUCAUUGGCAACCAUAUAUAUUUUCAUCUGUUUUAAUAAAGACUAGUGUUGUCAAGUCGUACAGUUUUGAAUGAGCGGUAACUCGGAUAAUCGUUCGACCGAUUAAUCGGUUAAUCGGUAGUGUUUAAGUUGAUGUUUGAAGGUAUUAUCUAUAGUACCCUACAAAUGCUCAUUUUACAAUACGAUGAAUUGAAGAAUGUCCUCUUGCAUUAUAAGGCUUGUCUUUGAUGAUUCGUGUCUUUAUUAAUCCAACACACCGUAUCUACUAUGGCGUUUGUAAUAACUUUAGAUUGAAAAAUUAUAAACACUUCUUGAUCUAUUCGAAUUGAAUAUAUCUGACACCGAUGGUUCUUUCGUUUUCUUUGGAUGUCUCAUAAAAUAAUAUGGAGUAUUUCAAUUUGAAAUGAUUAAGCCUGUUACUCGUACCAUCAAGUAUAUAUUAAUGGCAUUCACGUUGAUUUGCAUUCAACAAUUUUUGAGCUGGCAUUGACAAAGCCUUGCACGAUGGAGGUUGUGUAUUAAAAUGUAGGUCGACGCAAUAUUGUAUCAAAAGUUAACAAAUGAAGUUAAUAGUAAAAUUAAAUCAUUUAGCGUAUUUAAAGUUACUGUAAAAAAAAAACAGUUAUACUAAUUAUGUUCACCCCGAGAUGAUAGACAAGUUGUGUUAUUUCUAAAUAAUUUUGUGUUUGUUGGAUAAACAAAAGCAAUCAAUGUACUGGACAACUGAGCUGUCAAACUAAUUACCAGGACGAUAAUUUUUAAAUCGAACAAAUUUAUUGCAUGAUUUCAGUAUACAUUUAUAUGAAAAUCUAUUAAAAUUGAAAAAGAUCCGGCUAACCGAUGAGCGUUUUUUGGUAUUCGAUAUUCAGUCCUUCCGACGGUAAACCGUUGACAACACUUAUAAACACGCCUUUGAAAUUUUAAAGAGAGGCGAAAGAUACCAGAGGGACAGUCAAACUCAUAGAUCGAAAAUAAAUUGACAACGCCAUGGGUAAAAAAUAAAACGACAAACAGACAAAUAAUAGAUUACAAGACACAACAUAGAAAAUUAAAGACUUAGUAACACGGACCCUCCCAAAAACUAGGGUGAUAUCAGGUGCUCCGGAAGGGUAAGCAUAUCCCGCUCCACAUAUGGCACCCGUCGUGUUGCUAAUGUUAUUUGACUUCGGUGUUGACAUGAAUUUCAAUUAUAACCGGUUAUGUUAAAAAAAGAUUUAUUGGGUUUAAUCUGAGACAAAUCCAAGAUGUUAUAGACUACUCAGAAACAUAUAAAAUAGAGGGAGCAAUUGUUUUUGUUGAUUUCACAAAAGCAUUUGAUUCUUUAGAAUGGUAUUUUAUGCUUGGAACUUUGAAACAUUUUGGGUUUAAUGAAUCAUUCAUUAAGUGGGUAAAAACUAUGUAUCAGAUGUUCAAACUGUGUAAAAACAUGGGCUGGGUAUCAGAAAUUUCAAAAUCACGGGGAAUCGACAAGCUGUCCUUAUCAGCAUUAUUGUUUGUUGGCUGUUGAAAUUAUGGCUCUUAAGUUAAGGAACAGCAACGAAGUAAAAGGAAUCACUAUUAAGUUAGAUGGGAAAAGUCACAGCAUUAAAAUUUCACAACUAGCAGAUGACACAACAUUAUUUUGUAAAGAUAAAAACGAUGUAAUAUCUUCAAUGAAUAUAAUCGAAAUUUUUGGCUCAUUUUCAGGACUUUUGGUAAAAAGAAAUAAAACAGAAGGAUUAUGGAUCGGGAAUUAAAAUCAUGUAAAGAUAAAAUUGCGGGAGUUAAUUGGGGAGAUAAACCCAUUAAAGCAUUAGGGGUGUUUUUUGGACAUGAUAAAGAUGAAUGCAAAAAAUUAAAUUGGAAUUGUAAAAAAGAGAAAAUGAUGAAACUAUUCAAGACAUGGGAAAAAAGGAAUCUAUCAAUUUUAGGGAAAAUACUAAUUAUUAAAGCAUUAAUUUUGCCGUUAUUUACGUUUUUGGGAAGUGUCUGCUUAACUCCUUAAAUUAUAUUAAAGAAAUAGAAACAAGAAGCUUUAAAUAUAUUUGGGAUGGGAAACCAGACAAAGUAAAACGAAACCUGAUAACACUUCCUUAUGAAAAAAAGAGGCCUACAAAUGGUCGAUUUUAAAAGUUAUUUUAUAUCGCUAAAGCAUCAUGGUAUAUAGACUAGUAAAUGGUAAAUUUGCCAACUGGAAGCUUAUACCUUUUAGAUAUUUAAAAGUGUCUAAUAAUAUUUUAGUUAUAUUUAAUAUGAAUUUAAAUGAUAUAAAACAUUAGAAUUUUUAAAUAUGUUCCAGAAUUUUAUAGAGAAGUAAUAAAGUCCUGGAUUUUUACUGGGGAUGGGCAACAAAACAAGCGUGACAUAUGCUGAUAUAAGAAAACAAACAAUUUGGGGGAAUAAAUUUAUUGCAUUCAUAAGAAACCAAUUAUCUUUGAAAACUGGAUUAAAAGUGAUAUAAAUAUACUUGAAUGACAUUCUAGAUGACACUAUGUCACUAUCAGAAAAUUAUAUUUUGAACAAAUUAAAGUGUAAAGUAAACUGGAUUGCUGAAUUUCAUAAAUUGAAACAAUCCAUUCCACAAAAUUGGAUUGAUAUAGUUAAACAAGAAAAUUCUGUCCAAAGUAAAGUAAAUAUCCAGAGAAAUAAGAUCACAUGGAAAGAUCGUUAUUUUGAGACUACAUUUUUUUCAUAUAAAAUGUUAUAUGACUCUCUAGUGAAUAGUAAAAAAGAAACGUCAGUAGGGAUAAACAGGUGGCCCAAAAUGUUUCCAUUACAAGAAGCUUCAAAUAUGAAUUCAUUAUAUAACUUUAUUUUCAAAUACUUAACUGAAAAUAAAUUAAAAAUAUACAGAUGGAACUACUACAGUUUAUUGUACAACCAAAAAGCAUUUAUUACAAUGGAAAAUAACUAAUAACAGUUUGUGUAAUUUUUGUAACAUAGAAGAAGACUAUGCUCAUUUUUUUUCAAUUGCUCUAUUUAACAAGAUUUUGGCAACAAAUAAACGAUCUCUUAAAAAAGAGUAAUUUAGAUUUUUCAAUAAAAUUACAACACAUGAUAUUUGGAUACAAAAUUACAGACAGCAAGUAUUACCCAAUAAAUUUUUUGGUUACAAUUAUUAGUUUUUCAAUAUAUAAGUAGUACUAUGUUUCUGAGCAGAAAACAAAAAACAUAGACGUAUUCAGAAUUUUUAUUAAUGAAUACACCAAGAGAGUAGAUACCAAUAUUAAUGGACAUAAGAAAAUAAGUUCAAUGUUGCUUUCAAUUAAAAGAAACAUAAUCAGUGAAUAAUUUUUAUAUUGUUAAUAUAGAGUUUUGUAAACACAUGGAAAGAUCGUUAUUUUGAGACUACAUUUUUUUCAAAUAAAAUGUAUGUCAAUUAAUUUAAUCAGCUGAUUAUUCCCUGGGUAGUUAGUGGAUUGUAACAGGGUGCGUCAAGAGAAGCUAUGAAUCUUGAUGGUUUAUGUAACAAGCAAUAUUUGAUGAAUAAAAUUAUUAUGUAGUUAAAAAAAAAAAGAAUCUCGAAAAGGAGCGACACUAGUGCGUCGAAAGUAUAUGCAUCUUCUGUACUGGUGCUUUUGUUGCUGUGUAUCGAAAUACACAAUUAUCGUUUGUAUAUAAUUUAAAGGAUUAUCCAUGCAAUAUUGAACUGAAAAUCAAGAAAUUUAUGUGAUUGUACAAAGAUUACAGUAAGACAAAACCACAUAAUCCGUCAGUUUUUUAUAAGAACUUCAAUGGACAGGAAAACAUAUUUUCGAACCUCAAAAUAUAAUACACCUAAAAGUAUUGUACGAAAUAAAUAGUGACUGACUGUAUAAUUCCUUAAAGAAAGAUCGAAAACUUCAUACGGUUCUUUGAAACUCCAGUUCAGUUUAUUGUACACAAAAACAUUCUUUCUAAAUAUAAGAUUACAAAAGAACUGUUAAGAUAUUGACGUUGUUAGGCCAAGUUUAACAACGUGUGUUAUAAUACCUCCCAUUAAUGGAAAACCUAAAUUAAGUGUUUGUAUUUUAUGUGUUUAACAAUAACCAUUAGUAAAACGUAUUUAAAAACGGUUUCUAAAGUUUAUUAGUGGUAAUAUACCUUUUGACAAGACUUCCGUUUUCCGAAAGUCAUCAAAGAUACCAGUUUAGUAAUUUAGUACACCUGUACAACUUUUCGUCACUAAAUAGUGACAACGAAUUAAACUAGAUGUGUCGAGUGGUCUAACGCGUCGGAUACAGUGCAGGCAAUUUGGUGCCACGAUAUCUCAGUAGCAUCAGUUCGAAUCCCGACGAGGGAAGAACAAGAAAUUUGUGAAAAACGAAAUAUGCAGAUCUAACAUUGUUGGGGUGAUUUUUUAGAAGAAUUAUAAAAAGAUAUAUAUACAAGUCUAAAUUGAAAAUAACGUUCAAACCUAUGAUUGCGUUGGAUAAAAACCGACAUUUUUAUACAUGUAAAAUUGAAAAUGGAAAUGGGGAAUGUGCCAAAGAGACAACAACCCGACCAUAGAAUAAAACAACAGCAGAAGGUCACCAACAGGUCUUCAAUGUAGCGAGAAUUCCCGCAUCCGGAGGCGUCCUUCAUGUGCAUGUAAAACAAAUUUCGUUGUAGAGGGGUAUAAAUGCAGCACAAACAACAUUCUCCAAGAAAUAAAAAAAAAGUGAAAAAGUUUAUUUCAACAAAACGCAUUUGACUAACAUGUCGAACAACUGAUGUUCUUAAACCCUGCUGACUGCCAUUGACAUAUGCUAAAUAAAUCGAUCAUUAGAUGUACCAAAUGGAUCUUAAUAUUAAUUAAAUACCAAACAGAAAACAAUACAUUUGCGGCAAAGAUGGAAACCACAAACAUGAGGUACAUUAAUGUGUUAACCAUACGCGGAUUUCGACAAUUAAUAUAUCUUCAGUGAUGUUAGGGAUUGAAGCGGUAUUUGAAAGGCCAUACAAUUUACCUCAAUUUAGGAUAGACUCUUGAAUUUUAAAGAGUCGAGAUAGGAUGAACGGAAUAUAUAAACCGGAGGGAAAAUAUAGUACAAGCCCAAACUAUAAAAUAUAAACAAGUCUAAAUUGAAAACAACGUUCAAACCUAUGAUUGCGUUGGAUAAAAAUCACAAUUUUUAUACGUGUGCAUGCAAAACAAAUUUCGUUAUAGAGGGGUUUAAAUACAGCACAAACAACAUUUCCCAACAGACCAAAAAGAGAAAAAGUAUAUUUUCACAAUUUGUUUAGACUUAGACCGUCUUUUACCGUCGAUACAAUUCUUUUUUUGUAAGACAUUGUCCAUUUGUUCACUUUUGUGCAAAUUAUUUUCAAUAUGUCGACUUUUAACUAAAUAUAUCAUAAUCUCGUGGAUUAUAUGUUGUGACAUACGGGAUAAUAUGUCUAAAUUGUUUGAUGAUUUUUGGCUGAUUCGGAUUGCCGUGAUUCUAUAAUAGUUGGUAUUUUUGUCUGUGGCUUUUGAAUUCCGUAAUUUAUUACUUAUUCCGGAUAUUGUUGCUUUUUUAAAUACACUUUAAAUUUUUCCAAUCUUUUUUUAGUUAUAUUUCUGUACUAGUAAUGGUAGUUAUUCUUGACGCUAGAUUAAAAGGUAUAUUCAAUUUAACAUUUUUCGGAUGGUUUGAGUGAAAAUUUUAAUACAAAUGUAUACCGGUGUCUUUAGAGAAGAUAUCUGUGACAAUUUCAUUGACUUCCGUUAUAAUCACUUAAAUAUCCAAAUAUGGCAUUUUCUUGACACGAAUAUGUGGAUUUAAAGAAUUUAAAUCAGAAUGAAAUCUGAGACAGAUAUAACCGAAUUCCAAAUUAUAAAAAAAAUCGUCAAGAAAUCGUCUCCAGAUUUGACGUAUGUAAAUGGCAAAUUCAUUUCAGUAUUUAUGAUUCAUUUUUUCGUGUAAUAAUUGUUCCAAAUAUCCAAGUAACAAAGUAGUAUAUGAAGGCGCCAUUUAGUACUUAAAGCUGUUUCUUUUUUCUGAUGAUAGUAUGUGCCGACAAAGUAAAACAUAUUUCUGUCUAGUAUAAGUUUCAAAGAUGCAAGGAUAAAUUAUUUUGUUAAUCUGUUUUCAAUGACGUUUUCCGUAUUUUUUAACCAAUAGUUUACGGCUGUAAUUCCUUAGUCAUGAUAGUCCGGCUGAAUGGUGAGAAUAUUGUGGGGUUGAUGAUAAAAGCACCAAAUUUGGCAUGGUGGUAGUUCUGGGCAUUUCAAAACAUAUAAGCUAUGGACCCACCUUGCAAUUGUAAUAUGGCGGCUUUUUCCAAGAUGGCCGCCAUUAAAUAUCAAUGAGGGAUAUUUGCGUAAAGACACUAUCAAAAGAAGUGAGUUCUGAAUUUGGAUUUACUGUUUUUUGGUAGAUGAUUUAAAAAUUGCAAGUCGUCUCGUAUAAAACUGGGAACUUCACGACAAAAAGUUUUAAGCGCUUUGUCUAUAAAAUGGCCUAAAAUUCUGUGUAAUGCGUUUUGGUCGUCCAACAAUAGAUCGAAAUUUUAAAUCAUUUGGUCUUAAAAGUUCGAUGAAUUCACUGUUCUUUUCUGAUCCCACAUUUAAAAUUUCCUCACUUCUGUGGAUUUUAAGGCAAACCAUAGAAAUAGCUUGAUGAAAAUUUAGAGUUUAAAAUGUAAUCUAUAUCUCUUCCCUUUUAUGCAAUAAUUAAAUGUUCACCCAUUCUGAAAUAAAAAUCAAUAAUUUAUGUUUUAAUUAGUUUUUGUAGUUUAGGUAUACGUCUUAUUAUAACCUAACUUAUGAUUAUGAUACUUGACGACAAAGUGAUAACAUGAAAUAACAUGAGUAACACGACGGUUCCACAUGUGGAUCAGGAUCUGCUUACCCUUCCGGAGCAGCUGAGAUCACCCCCAGUUUUUGGUGGAGUUCGUGUAGCUCAGUCUUUGGUUUUCUAUGUUGUUUCUUGUGUAUUAUUAUGUAGAUAUAGGAAGAUGUGGUGUGAGUGCCAAUGAGACAACUCUCCAUCCAAAUAACAAUUUAAAAAAGUUACAGGUCAAUGUGUCUGUUUCUGUUUGUCUUUUUCAUUUUUUAGCCAUGGCAUUGUCAAUUUAUAUUCAAUUUAUGAGUUUGACUGUUCCUCUGGUGUCUUGUGUCCCGUCCCCCCUUUUAUGUCGUUAUUACAACAUAAAGAAGACAUUUUUACAAUAUGUUUUCUUCUUCAAUGCGGCCUUAAUCGGCUCCCAUACAAUAUAUCAUUUUAAAAGUUAAGGAAGCUUUACAUGAUGAUAUUAAUUGAGUUUCUUUUCAUUCUCUAUCUUAAAUUGAUAAUUCUUUGUAUAAGAUAUCAGAGCUGAUAUAGAUAUAUGACUCCAUUGAAACGCGUGUGCGUCUCUUGGUGUGUUUUAUUCUUAUUUUUGAAUAUCAUUGUUUCAUUGACGAUUUUAUCAUUUGUAUUUGCAUGAUUUUUUCAUGACGUCAAUACUUGACCCAUUUAGCAAUCAAUAUAUCACUUGUGCUGCACAGAUAACGAAUACGACAACUAUUUCUAAUUUUGGAAUUUUACUUUGUAACCAAAAAUAAAAGCAUUGUAAGUAAAUUUGUUGGAGUUAAUAGUUAAUAUUUCUUUCUACUGUUAUUACUUCGACGCUUUUUCGGAUAUGUUUUUAAAAAUAUUAAUUCAUUUUUUUAAAUAUGAUUUAAUCAUGUUAAUAUAUAUAUUGCAUUUGACCCAUUUAACAUUUUAAGAAAGUUAUCUACAAAGACCUGUUAGGUAAUUAUUCGACAUUCCUGUUUAUUUCAGAUGAUAAGUAAUCAAUAUUCAUCCAUUUAAAAGUACAUAAUGACAUGCCUGUGCUAAGUCAGGAAUAUGACAAUUGUUUUCCUUUCGCUUUAUGUGUUUGAGCUUAUGAUUUUGCCAUUUGAUAAAGGCCUUUUCUUUUUUAAUUUUCCUAGGAGGUCGGCAUAUUUGUUGUUUUAAUUUUUUAUCGUUUAAAUGAAUAAGAAGUAGAACUUCAAUGAUCAUGACACUUUCCGAAAACGUGUUUUCCCAUGGAAAUAAUUCUGAAGGGCGUUACGCGAUAUUGAAUAAUGAUAAAAACGGUCAUUGAAGAAGGGUUUGCUGACCCUUCCAAUGUUCCUGAGACAACAUUAAGGUAAGGUUUAUGUUGCUCAGUCUUUACAUUUGUAUGUUGUGUUUUGUAUGUACUGUUGUUUGUCUUUUCGUAUUUUUUAGUUUUGUGCAAUGGCAUUUUCAGUUUGGUUUCGCCUUAUGAGUUUGAAUAUCCCUUAGGUAACUUUUGUAUUACUUUUAAUAAAACUCCUGAUACUAUAUUUUUCAAGGUGGGUCUGUGUAAUACAAUAAAACCAAAUAUCUUAUUACUAGAAAACUCCUUUUAUUUGCGAGUUUGAAAUCAUGAAAUUCACUUACAUUCAACAACAAUAACCAUAGUUUGUAUUCCUGUGCAAGUCUUGCCUAAAUAUAUGUCACUAAUGGUAUUCAAGUGUGUAGAAAUGAAUAUUAUUCAUUGCGUGCCAUUCAUCUUCUGUCCAUCUUGUUACAAAACAUUAACUGUGUUAUUCAUUUGAAUUAUUUUAACAUUUAGGAACAUGUAUAAGUACAAUAGAAUACGCAUUACAAGGUCCCAACAUGACAAAAUGUAAACCAAUUUAAUCGAUAACUGGUUUGUGAUUAGAAAACAAAAGAUAACAAAAAAGAAAAUAUGAAGCACAAUAACCAACGAUUGCUACUGAAUUACAGGCUCUUGACUUGUGCGUUAGAUGUGAUUGAAAUCUCUUUACCCUCCCAAAUUAUGGGACAGCUAUAUGUAACACCAAAAACAAAACAGUUGAGAAGUACUCGGCUUACCAGAUUCGUCACUUAGAAGAGCUACAAAUAAAAAAAAUAAAAAAGUAGCAACCUCGGAGUAUUGGCAGUUGAAAACUAGUUAAUAAUUAAGGUGACAUUGCUAAAAGUUUACCGAUGUUCAGAUCUCGUAAAUCGAUUGUAAUAAGACAAACUAAGGUAAAAAUAAGGUAACAAAUGAAUGAAUCGCAAGAAUCUCGAAAAGGAGCGAGACUAGUGCGUCGAAAGGGUAGGGAUCUCCUGCACUGUAAUUUAGUGGUUGUCUUUUGUUGCUGUGUAUCGAAAUGCACAAUUAUCGUAUGCAUUAUGGGAUGUUUAGAUAUUUCUAAAAAAAAAGAAGAUAUAAUUUAAAGGAGUCUCCAUGCAAUAUUGUACUGAAAAUCAUGAAAUUUAUGUGAAUGUACAAAGAUAACAGUAAGACAAACCCAAUCAAAGAUAACACACCUUCUAAAGGUAUCGAUCAUAAUAAUAUAUAUAGUCACUGACUGUAUCACUCAUUAAACUUCAACAAAAUUCGAAAACUUCAAAAGGCAGUAGUACUUUAAAAAUCAAGUUCAUAUUAUUGUACACAAAUUAAAAAAAAAUCUAAACAUUAGAUUACGAAAGAACUGUUAGUAUAUUGACGUAGUUGGGUCAAGUCCAACGACGUGUGUGACCUCCCGUUAAGAGAAAACAUAAAUUAAAUUUUUGUAACAUGUGUUUAAUAAUAACCAACAGCUUAACGUAUUGAAAAACUGUCUUUAGAGUUUAUUUGUGGUUAUACCGGCUGACAAGAACGGCUUCCAUUUUCCGGAUUUGGAAAAAAAGUCAUAAAAGAUAUCAGGUUUGUAAUCUUGUACACCAGUAUCGUGUUUUGAUUUUUAAAAAAGACAAAAUGAAAACGACUAAAAAUCCCAUUAGUGAAUCAUACUAGAUGUGUCGGAAGGAUAUUAAUGGCCCUGCUCGCAAAAAAAAGGCUUGAAACCAAUAUAAGGAGCGAGAAUUUGAGGAAGAAAGUCCGUGUUGCUGCUAUUUUCAAUAAUGUUCAAAGCCCGUUAUGUCAGCACAAAUUAGCGGAGCAGAUCACAACCUGAUCUCAAUAUGUUAUCCAGUAUAGUAGACUCACAUUCUAAAAAUGAGCUCAAUAUGAAGUUUAUAGAAAAAAGUCAAAACCCAAUAAUUUUCGCAUAAACUAGUGGAUCGGAACCGAAUUUAAACUUAAUUUGUAAAUCAUCACGAUUCCAUCAUGGUAGAAUCACAUACUUUAAAUCAGCGCAUAAGAAGGCGUGUAAAACAAUCUUUAGAACUGAGUUUUCCACGACAGUUUCAAAGUAAAAAGCCCGUUAUUUGGUAAAAUUCGGCAGAGCGAAACCAAACGAAACCCCGAUCUAUAACUCAUCAUGCAAUGUAUGCGAUGUGUAGUUUAUUCAUUAUUGAAGUCCGUACGAUGAACUUACAUUGUUGAUUCCCAUGUCAUUUGGUCUAUUGUGGAGAGUUGUCUCAUUGGCAAUCAUACCACAUAUUCUUCUGACAUCGUAUACUAAAAUUCAGUUCAAUAUGUGAAGGCGUUCAGAAAAAGUUUCGUACAACUUAAUUCUAACAAACUUGAAGACCACAGCCCAGAGUUUCGGUUAAAAUCGGCGGAGCGGAACAAAGCGUAAAUUCGAACUAUAACUGAGUAAAGUAGAGCCACAUACUUAACAUUAACUUAAUUUAUAAAGGCGUUUAUAGCUAUAGCUAUUCGUUGUAUAAAUUCAACGUUUGAAUGAGGUUUGGACAUUCAAUUAAUAGACGUUUGGGAGUUUCAUUCUGUUAUUUAUUUUAAAAUUAUCAUUGUUAGUAUAAAUAUCAGAGUUAAUAUACUAUUAGAUAUUUUACUUACUCCGAUAAAACACGUGUGUGGCACUUGAUGUGAUUUUUAAUUUUUUUAAUUUCAUAUUUUCAGUACCAAUGUUAUCAUUUGUAUUGUAUGUUUUUUACAUGACGUCAGUACUUGGCCUAUUUAACAAUCGAUCAAUCACUUGUGCUAACCAGAUUACGAGUAGGACAACGAUUUAUAAGUUUGGAUUUAUUUUGUAACUAAAAGCAACAGCAUUAUAAGUGCAUUAAUUAAUGUAGAUAGUCAGGACAGAUGUUGUAAUUGUUUCACUAGUUUCUACUGUUAACACUUAGACGUCUUUCGGGUAUGUUUUAAAAAUUUAAAUUGUUAGUACUUUUUUUUGAUAUAAUUUGAUUUAAUUUGUGACAAACUUGAUCCAUUAAAAUUUUGGAAUGUUAUCUACAAAAACCUGUUAUCAGUGAUUCCUGUUUAGUGUAGUUGAUUCAUUUGCUAUUAACUGUUAUAGAUAUAAAUUCAGGAACAUGACAAAUGUUUUCCAUUCGUUUGAUGUGAUUGAUCUUUAAAUUUUUGCCAUUUGAUAAUAGGGAAUUUCCGUUUUGAAUUUUCCUUGGAGCUUGGUAUUUUUUGUAUUUUUUUUUUUUAUCAAUUGAAUAAAAUAGAAGAAAAACUUCAAUGAUCAUUAGUUUCAUAAUUACACCAUAAAAUGACGAACUUGUUCUUAUGACAAAAGGGCAAGGUAUGUAUGAUUAGUGUCAUUUUUUAUUUUUGGGUCCCCCUUUAUUAAAAUAACUUCAUAUUUGUUUCAUCAUCAGACUGCAUAUGGAUUUUACAUAAUGUUGAACAUGAUGUUCUUACGUGUACAUUUGAUUACCUAUCAUCGAGUUUCUCAGAACUAACUAAUUUAUCCCACUUUAACCUAUAUAUUGCAGAUCAAAGUGCAAAGGGUUAACUGAAAACGAAAGUCUAAAAAAACUACAGAGGAAAGUUAUCAUUUAGCAACACGUACCCGUACAAAUAUAUCGGCUGAACAGGUAAUGAAAACAUGUGGUGUGGACGUCUUAAAGGUUCGUCAUUUAUCAGGAACACAUGUCUGGUCUCCCAUUAAACAUUGCUAACUUAAUCAUACCACAUCUCAAUGUUGAUUACUACAAGCCAGAACAAUAGAAUACGUUAUCAUAUGCAUGACAUUUUGAAGAUACAAGUUUUUUGUAACCAGGAAGAAAAUGUUAAACAAGCAGAAAAUGUGACAUGCGGUAUUAUGAGUAAGGCAUAAAAGAGGGUCGAAAGGUACCAGAGGGACAGUCAAACUCAUAGAUACAAUAUAGAUUGAUAACGCUAGAUGAAGCUUUGGGUCAUUUAUCAUGAAUCUAUAACCUGAAUUUUUAUAACUGCUGAAUAUAGUGGUAUAGAAAUAUAAAACGGACAUAUGUUCGAAAUAGGGUUUCUAGCGUUCUUUGGAACAAUUUUGAUGAGAAGUUGGUGCUAUUAUUGUCUACAGACUAGAAUUUGUGGUGAAUAAAUUAGGGUCUGUCUGUUUUUUCUGUCCGUCGAUCGUCAGUCAGUCAUUCCAGCAAAUCAGGUUUCCACACUUAUUUACUUCAUGCUUAAAGAUAUUGAUUUGUUAGUUGGUGUAUUUUUAUAUCAUGACAAGUAACAGAUCAAGUUUGAAUUUUGUACCGGCCUGACGAUUUUGUACAGAGUUAUGGUCCUUGAACUAAGUAAAUUGUCUCUAAUAAUCAGUUGUAUGCUCUUUUUUAUCAUGCUUAAAGAUAUUGAUUUGAUAGGUUUGUAUAUUGUAAUUGACAAAUGAAAUUCUAACUGUGUACCGGUCUGAUGAUUAUGUGCAGAGUUAUGGUCCAUGAAAACUAGAGGCUCUAAAGAGCCUAUGUCGCUCACCUUGGUCUAUGAUCAUACUAAACAAAGGACAUACAUAAUAGAUGUGAAUAGAAUUCAUGAGAAAAUUAUGUUUUUGGUGAUGAUGAUGUGUUUGUCAAUCUUACCUUACUGAACAUUCUUGCUGUUUACAAUUUUCUCUAUCUAUAAUGAACUUGGCUCAGUAGUUUCAAACUUCAAAGGAAAAUAUUUUGUAAAAGUUUACAAAAAUUUACAUAAUUUACGAAAAUUGUUUAAAAUUUACUAUAAAGAAAAUUAUUACUAUUAAGGGGUCAAUUGAACGUUUUGGUCAAGUUGACUUAUUUGUAGAUCUUACUUUGCUUUACAUAUAAUUGUUGUUUACAGUUUAUCGUUAUCUAAGAUAUUAUUGAAGGUAAUAACCAAAAAUUACCAAUUCAGGGGCAGGAAUCCAACAACGGUUUGCCUGAUUUGUCUGAAAUUUGCAGUACAGUUAGAUUUUGACUUAAUGAACAUGUUUAAAUGAAUGAGAUUUGCUCUUAAUGCUUUUAAUUCAGAGAUUUUAGCCAAAAAAUGCACUUAACCCCCUAUGUACUAUUUUUUGCCAUAUUGGCCAUCUUAGUUCGAGAACGAGGUCAUUGGACACAUUAUUGAAACUACAUACCCUUAAGAUGAUGGUUGCCAAGUUUGGUUAAAUUUGUCUAAUUAGUUUCAGAGGAAAAGAUUUUUUUAAAAGAUUACUUAAACUUAAAAACAAUUGGUAAAAGUAGACUACAAAGGGCACUAACUCCUAAAUGGGUCAACUGACAAUUUUGGUCAUGUAACUUAUUUGUAGAUCUUACUUUGCUGAACAUUAUUGCCGUUUACAGUUAUACAACUUUUUGGAAUUUUGGAUCUUCAAUGCUCUUCAACUUUUUACUUGUUUGGCUUUAUAAAUAUUUUGAUAUGAGCGUCACUGAUGAGUCUUAUGUAGACGAAACGCGCGUCUGGCGUACUAAAUUAUAAUCCUGGUACCUUUGAUAACUAAUUAUCUCUAUCUAUAAUAAUAUUCAAGAUAAUAACCAAAAACUUCAAAAUUUCCUUAAAAUAACUAAUUUGGGGGCAGCAACCCAAUAACAGGUUGUCCUAUUUGUCUGAAAAUUCCAGGGCAGGUAGAUCUUGACCUGAUUAACAAUUUAAACCUGUCAGAUUUGCUCUAAAUGCUUUGAUUUUACAGAUAUAAGCCAAAAUCUACAUUUUACCUUCAUGUUCUAUUUUUAGCCAUGGCGGCCAUCUUGGUUGGUUGGCCAGGUCAUCGGACACAUUUUUUAAACUACAUACCCAAUGAUGAUUGUGGCCAAGUUUGGUUAAAUUUGGCCCAGUUGUUUCAGAGAAGAAGAUUUUUUUUAAAGAUUACUUAAAUUUUAGAAAAAUGAUUAAAAAUUGACUAUAAAGAGCAACAACUUCUUUAAGGGUCAACUGACAAUUUUGAUCAUGCUGACUUAUUUGUAGAUCUUACUUUGCUGACUAGUAUUUCUGUUUACAGUUUAUCUCUAUCUUUUAUAAUAUUCAAGAUAAUAACAAAAAAAUGCAAAAUUUUCUUUAAAUUGCUAAUUCGGGGGCAGCGAGGAUUUUUCAAAAAAAAAUAUAUCGUUUAUUGAAAAUAACGUUUAAAUUGAUUAUGAAAAUACAUUUCCUUUUUUAUCUACAUUAAAAUUUCAAAUUGAAAUACAGUUAUUUUCUUUGCUUAUAUAUUGCAACAGUAUUUCCUUUUUAUUAAAACAAGGAGGUCAUGUAACCUCCUUGAUUAGAAUAACAAAUAGGAUUGUUGUAGGUACAUCUGCAUCCUUUUCGUUAUCAAAAUGGGAAUAAGUAGAUAUGAAAUAUGAAGAAAAAAAAACUGCAAUCUAAAUCUAAAAUAUAUUUUUAAAAAAACAUUUGACUAUGCAGAUGUAAGAAAUGAUUAUUACUUCAAGCAUUGAAAUAGCGAAUUAAAUGUGCCGCUUUGUGAUCGAUAACCUUAAAAUUAAUCAUGCAUGCAAUUUUAGCAGACUUAACAGGGUCAGCGAAUGAUGACAGAUGCAGACAGAGAUAGGAAAAAUUAAUUUACAAUUAUAAUAGUUAUCUGGGUCAGGGAACAGAUUAUCUAACUAUAUGUUCCUGUAGUAAUUAAGGCUUUUCAAAAUGUUCGUCAAAAUAAAAAAUAAAUAAUUAUUAUUUUUUGAAGACGAUCAGAUGAUUUUUAAUAUAUUAAGUACGAAAAGUGUAAGAAGAUUUUGAGCCAUCUCACUUAUCAGUAGGCUACACGGUGCCCCAAAACGACUAGUAUAAAACUAUCCAGCAAGAGAAAAAAGGGAUAGGUCAAAAUAAAAAAAUUUACAAGGCAACUUCAGUUCAAUUUCAAUAUUUAGAUUAUUCUAAUGAAUUUGUCAAAUGUGGUGGGAAUACCAAUGAGACAACUCUCCAUCAAGUGGUAGACACAGUGUAGUCAAAGUUUGCAAUUAUAGGUUGUAAUAUAGCCUUCAUACCAAAGACUUGGAUAACAGUGGACAGCAUCCUACUAAGGGCCCCAAAACACUGUUAUAAAACAAUUUAAACAGGAAAAAUCAAAAUUAAUUUAACUUCAAACCAGAAAGAAAAGGCAAAAUGAACUGCACAAAAAAAGACAACCACUAAACAACAUGCUUUUGACGUGGGUCAUGUGCUUAUGAAUACGCCUGGUUGAAAAGAAUUUACAUACAUACCAUAAGACAGUAGUGUAACUUUACCAUGUAAAGACACCCUUUAAAAGUUAAUGAAAAAGCGUGUUCAGAUAAAAAAAAAAGGAACAGUUCAUAAAUGUAGCCUUUAAACAAAUUAAUAUAUAGGUGAGGGUUAUUCAGUGGUUAUUUCAGAUUUGACCAUGUUAGCUUUUUUGUUUUCAAUUUUGUCUGUUAAUUUAUAAGUACAAGGUGUAAGCUCCUUGAUGAAUUGGUUCGGUCAUCAAGGUGAAGAGGAUACAGUGCAAUUCAAAUUAUAUAUAUUUACAAUUAAACUUGCAGGCCUUUUUCAUGACCCACAAUUUAAAAUAUAAGAGAACAUCAAAAUGAAAAGGGACAUUCGGUAAAUAUCUUCAAAGCGAGUUAUAAGUUUAAAAAAGUUUGUCUUCUAAACCAUUUAAGAGCACAAAGCACUCAACUUAAAAUUGUCAAUGCUUACUACCCUAAGCAUCCCAAAAACCUCGCAGAGCAGUUGUAAGGAUCUUGAUAAUGAUCAUCAUCAAGCCAUUGUUCAAAUAACCAUGAACAUAUAUCCAAUUUCAAUAAACAGCUAUUUUACAAGUCCACGUAUUGCAUUUCUUAAACACAAAUAAUAACGCUUAUCUAAAAAAACCAGCGCCUUAGAAUGGAACAUCCAGUGGGUGACUUACCAGUUUGUCUUUCGGCCGAGAGGAGAAAAAAAAAUGACUUGGACACGAGCAUUGAUUCCUUUAACAACACAUUGAACUGUAGUUACAUUAAGUAUACAGUCAAUGUCAGUUUCUUACUCUUAUACCACAAAAACUAUUUAAAACCAUUCAUCUUUAUUAAACAAUUAUUUAAUGUUCAAUGCCAAAAAAGCAUUUGGGUUUACGAUUGCAUUUCUUUUUUUAAAGAAAGCAGCUUGUUUUCAUUCCUAUCGUAUGUGUACAAUCUAAUUAAAAACCGAUCUCUCAUCGCUCCCGUUUCCGAUAUGUCGCGUGGGAGAUCUAACGAAACCCGCUUUGAGGUCACAUGUGAGUGACCUCGUAGGUGUGUCUUGUUCGACCAAUGAAAAUGAGUCUUCGACGAUCUUGAAAGUUUAUCGUGAGGUAAACGGAUUUAACUCAUUUAAUUUACGAAAAAAUCUUCAGUCCAAUCAAUCCAUAAACUUUUUUGAUUGGCUUAUUUAUAAGUCGUCAACUCAUUUGCAUAUCAUUAUAAAUUCAUAACUUCCAGUUCACUCACGUGUGACCUCGAAGCGGGUUUCGUUAUAUCUCCCACGCGACAUAUCAGAAAACGGGAACGAUGAGAGAUCGGUUUUUAAUUAGAUAUAUGUGUGUAUAUAUUUCGUUAUUCGGUCGAUUUGUAAAACUCACUAGAGCUUGAGUUCAUGUAGUUUAUUGAAUAUCGACUAUAAAUUAAUGCUUUCGGUCACUUGCUUCAUAUUUGUCAAUAUAGAAAGUCAAAGGAUAUAGGGUAUAUUCUUAAAUUUUUGGACAAUUUUUUUUCAUAAUCCAAUUGGAACAUAAUAACCAAUUGCGGGGAAUUGUUCUGGCCAUAGUGGUACUUGUACUACACAAAACUUAUUUAAAAUAGUCGUGCGUUAUGCGUUAAUAAGACAGCACCUAAACAACAUCUAAACGUAUUCUUUGACCAAUCUAAUUGAACGAGUACUUAAACGAAUUAAAAUAUCCAACAAAUAUAAAGCUCGUGACCGAAGAACACUGAUAAUUAACGCAUGCGCUACGUGCAUUCAUCCAUUAAGGUUUUGUUCGGUCACUGGUUAAUAUUUUAAUAUACUAGAUAUAAAUCUUUGGAUUAAUUAUUUUGAUAAUCAAAUUUAGGGUAUUAUAUCCCAAACGGAAUAUAAUAAGCUAAUACUAUGCAAAUCAGAGAAAAAUUAAAAGAGUCGUGUUUUGUGAGACAGCAAUCAAACAACAAUUUUGUAAGAUCAUAUCUGAGUUCGUUUUAUUUUCUCAAUAGAAAAAUCUCAAAAAACAACGUGUGUUUAAAAAUGCUAGAGACGGUGGAAGAAUGGAGGUUGUAAUCAGUAAAUUGGCCAAAAUAUGUCUGACAGAGGAAAUGGCGGAUGUGUACUUUUCAUUCCAAGAUGAAAAUAUAACACGCAUACCUGCUCAUAAAAUUAUCCUAGUUUAAGAAGUCCCGUGUUUAAGGCCAUGUUCUAUGGUAGUUUUCCACAAGCUGAAGGCCAUAUAACGAUCGAAGAUAUCACACUGCAUAUAUUUCAAAUAUUAAUGAAGUGAGUACAAGUAAACUGUCAUUGUAACAUAAAUUAUACAUGAAAUCAAUGUCGCCUUUGCAAUAUCUUAGCAUUAGUUGAUGCAACCAGUUAAAUGUAAACACAAAGAAUCGUAUUGUAUUGCUACGCACUUUUUCUACAUUUCGUGAUUUUUGAUAAGUUGGAUCUUUUGGCAAUAUUUGGGUUUCUGAUUGUACGGAUACAUUAAAAGAGUUUUUUUAAGAAUAGUUUAUCCUUUUUGUUUUUUACAAUUUUAAUCUUUCGUUGAAACUAAAUCUUCUACAGGAAUAAUAACGACUGACAACAUUAAUAUAUAUUAUUGCAAGCUUCUUAAUCAUUAAUUGCAUUAAUUCAAUAACCUGAUUUUUUUUUAUAAUGUCAAUUUCUUUUUUAAAAGAAAUACAUGCGUUUGUAAGCAUUGGUUCGGUAAAAUCUAUAAAGAAAUAAUUGUAACACAUACAAUUGAUUUAUUGAUCCUUGUUUGAGGCUACACCAACGACUGAUACAAAGUGAUAUAAACGGCUCUCUCGUCGUAGCCCGGAUUUAAAUUCAAUUUCUGACCAACACAAUUAUGUAACCCUUUUUCAGUCUUGUUAAAUUGUGUUAUUUUUAAAUGUUUCAGAUAUAUAUAUACUGAUCAUCUCCAGUUAAGCAAAGAUUCCGUUAUUCCUUUAUGGUAUGCUGGUCAGAAGUAUCAAAUCGCAGAAGUAAUCUCGGAAUGUGAGAAUUAUCUACAAGAUAAUCUAGCUGUUAACAAUACAUGUACACUUUUCAAUAAUGCAAAAGUUUUCAUAAUGGAUAAAUUUCAAGCUAGAGCACUGAGAUUCAUAGCUGACAAUGCUAUGGAUGUGAUGAAAAAUGUCGAUUUUCUUUCGCUCCCAGCAAAAAAGUUUGAUGUACAAGAAGUUGGUGUAAUCCUUGCUGUUCUUAGGUGGGUGGAUCAUAAACUGACUCAGUCCAAAAAUAAAAUCGAUGGAAAAUCAAGAAGAGGCGUUCUUCUGAAAGAUGGUAUUCUUUUUAUUAUGGCAAUCCCUCUACUUUCCAUUGACGAGUACAUGUCAAUUGGCAUGCCAUGUGAAAAUUUAACAGAAGAAGAAGAGCUUCACAUUUUAAAUGAAGA
rnacentral:lncRNA from 1 species